rnacentral:rRNA from 1 species
AGCAGCCGCGGUAAUUCCAGCUCCAAUAGCGUAUAUUAAAGUUGUUGCAGUUAAAAAGCUCGUAGUUGAAUUUCGGGGUUAGUAGGUUGGUCAUGCCUCUGGUAUGUAUUGGUCUCACUGAUUCCUCCUUCCUGAUGAACCGUAAUGCCAUUAAUUUGGUGUUGCGGGGAAUUUUGGACUGUUACUUUGAAAAAAUUAGAGUGUUUAAAGCAAGCUAACGCUUGAAUACAUUAGCAUGGAAUAAUGAAAUAGGACGCUCGAUCCUAUUUUGUUGGUUUUCUAGGAUUGACGUAAUGAUUAAUAGGGAUAGUUGGGGGCAUUAGUAUUCAAUUGUCAGAGGUGAAAUUCUUUGGAUUUAUUGAAGACUAACUACUGCGAAAGCAUUUGCCAAGGAUGUUUUCAUUAAUCAAGAACGAAAGUUAGGGGAUCGAAGACGAUCAGAUACCGUCGUAGUCUUAACCAUAAACUAUGCCGACUAGGGAUCGGAUGAUGUUAAUUUUUAAUGACUCAUUCGGCGCCUUACGGG